rnacentral:rRNA from 1 species
CUGGCGGUGUGCUUCAUACAUGCAAGUCGAACGAGAAUCUGGGGCUUGCUCCAGAGGAAAGUGGCGGACGGGUGAGUAAUAUGUAGGUAAUCUGCCCUUAAGAGGGGGACAACAGAGGGAAACUUCUGCUAAUACCCCAUAUGAGCGUAGCUGAAAUGCUAUUCUUGAAAGCUCCGGCGCUUAGGGAUGAGCCUGCAUCUGAUUAGCUAGUUGGUGGUGUAAUGGACUACCAAGGCGACGAUCAGUAGCUGGUUUGAGAGGAUGAUCAGCCACAAUGGGACUGAGACACGGCCCAUACUCCUACGGGAGGCAGCAGUAGGGAAUUUUGCGCAAUGGGCGAAAGCCUGACGCAGCAACACCGCGUGAAUGUUAAGCCCUUCGGGGUGUAAAGUUCUGUCACAGGGGACGAAUCUUGACGGUACCCUGAGAGGAAGCACCGGCUAACUCCGUG